GUCAGCAUGGUGUAAUGGUUUCAGUGCUGGACUAUGGCUCUACAGACCAGGGUUCAAAUCCCUGCUCAGCCA